GUCCUUGCUGUAAACUAUGUAUACUUGGUGUUAUUGGGCUCAACCCUGAUAGUACCGUAGCUAACGCGAUAAGUAUACCGCCUGGGGAGUACGCUCGCAAGGGUGAAACUCAAAAGAAUUGACGGGGACCCGCACAAGCAGUGGAGCAUGUGGUUUAAUUCGAUGCAACGCGAAGAACCUUACCUGGGCUUGACAUGCUUUUGACAGUUACAGAAAUGUAAUCUUCUCGCAAGAGACAAUUGCACAGGUGCUGCAUGGCUGUCGU
rnacentral:rRNA from 1 species